GUAGGGUGCAAGCGUUAAUCGGAAUUACUGGGCGUAAAGCGUGCGCAGGCGGUUUUGUAAGUCUGUCGUGUAAUCCCCGGGGCUCAACCUGGGAAUUGCGAUGGAGACUGCAAAGCUGGAGUCUGGCAGAGGGGGGUAGAAUUCCACGUGUAGCAGUGAAAUGCGUAGAGAUGUGGAGGAACACCGAUGGCGAAGGCAGCCCCCUGGGUCAAGACUGACGCUCAUGCACGAAAGCGUGGGGAGCAAACAGGAUUAGAUACCCUGGUAGUCCACGCCCUAAACGAUGUCUACUAGUUGUCGGGUCUUAAUUGACUUGGUAACGCAGCUAACGCGUGAAGUAGACCGCCUGGGGAGUACGGUCGCAAGAUUA
rnacentral:rRNA from 1 species